rnacentral:rRNA from 1 species
GAUGAACGCUGGCGGCGUGCUUAACACAUGCAAGUCGAACGGACUUUACAUGAAGCCUAGCGAUUGUAAAGUUAGUGGCGGACGGGUGAGUAACGCGUGGGUAACCUGCCUCGUACAGGGGGGAUAACACUUAGAAAUAGGUGCUAAUACCGCAUAAGCGCACAGCUUCGCAUGAAGCAGUGUGAAAAACUCCGGUGGUACGAGAUGGACCCGCGUCUGAUUAGCUAGUUGGUGAGGUAACGGCCCACCAAGGCGACGAUCAGUAGCCGGCCUGAGAGGGUGAACGGCCACAUUGGGACUGAGACACGGCCCAAACUCCUACGGGAGGCAGCAGUGGGGAAUAUUGCACAAUGGGGGAAACCCUGAUGCAGCGACGCCGCGUGAGUGAAGAAGUAUUUCGGUAUGUAAAGCUCUAUCAGCAGGAAAGAAAAUGACGGUACCUGACUAAGAAGCCCCGGCUAACUACGUG